rnacentral:ribozyme from 13 species
GUUUCUCGUCUUCUUUUUGUUGUUUGUUCUUUCCUUCUUGUUUUUGUUCUUUUUCUUCUGUUUGUGGUUCUGAAGAGGGAAGUAAAAGAGGAGAGGGAGAAGGAGAGGGAGAAGUGGGAGGAACAUCUACAGGAGUCGAAGAAGGGGAGAUUGUGUAUGUAUCUGAGUACAAUAAAUCAACCGAAGAAAGAAA